rnacentral:rRNA from 1 species
GUGCCAGCAGCCGCGGUAAUACGUAGGGGGCGAACGUUGCUCGGAAUUACUGGGCGUAAAGGGUGUGUAGGCGUCCCGGUAAGUCUCUGGUGAAAGCCUUCCGCUCAACGGAAGAAUUGCCAGAGAUACUGUCGGGAUUGAGUCCGGGAGAGUGGAGCGGAAUUCCUGGUGUAGCGGUGAAAUGCGUAGAUAUCAGGAAGAACGCCAGAGGCGAAGGCGGCUCCCUAGCCCGGUACUGACGCUGAGGCACGAAAGCGGGGGGAGCGAACGGGAUAAGAUACCCCGGUAGUCCACGCCCUAAACGAUGGAUGCUAGGUGUUGGAUCCGAGAGGAUUCAGCGCCGAAGCUAACGCGUUAAGCAUCCCGCCUGGGGACUACGGCCGCAAGGCUGAAACUUAAAUGAAUUGACGGGG